rnacentral:rRNA from 1 species
UACGGAGGGGGCCAGCGUUGUUCGGAAUUACUGGGCGUAAAGGGCGCGUAGGCGGUCAGCACAAGUCAGUUGUGAAAUCUCUGGGCUUAACUCGGAAAGGUCAACUGAUACUGUGCGACUAGAGUGCAGAAAGGGCAACUGGAAUUCUCGGUGUGGCGGUGAAAUGCGUAGAUAUCGAGAGGAACACCUGCGGCGAAGGCGGGUUGCUGGGCUGACACUGACGCUGAGGCGCGAAAGCCAGGGGAGCGAACGGG